rnacentral:rRNA from 3 species
AGACCCGAAACCCGGUGAUCUAGCCAUGGGCAGGUUGAAGGUUGGGUAACACUAACUGGAGGACCGAACCGACUAAUGUUGAAAAAUUAGCGGAUGACCUGUGGCUGGGGGUGAAAGGCCAAUCAAACCGGGAGAUAGCUGGUUCUCCCCGAAAGCUAUUUAGGUAGCGCCUCGUGAAUUCAUCUCCGGGGGUAGAGCACUGUUUCGGCUAGGGGGCCAUCCCGGCUUACCAACCCGAUGCAAACUGCGAAUACCGGAGAAUGUUAUCACGGGAGACACACGGCGGGUGCUAACGUCCGUCGUGAAGAGGGAAACAACCCAGACCGCCAGCUAAGGUCCCAAAGUCAUGGUUAAGUGGGAAACGAUGUGGGAAGGCCCAGACAGCCAGGAUGUUGGCUUAGAAGCAGCCAUCAUUUAAAGAAAGCGUAAUAGCUCACUGGUCGAGUCGGCCUGCGCGGAAGAUGUAACGGGGCUAAACCAUGCACCGAAGCUGCGGCAGCGAACGUAUCACCCAAGACAACUUUACGGAGUUGACGAUUGACGGAGCGAAGCGACGUCAAAGCGUUCAUUAAAGUCGAGUUGGCUUAGGGAUACGUUCGUUGGGUAGGGGAGCGUUCUGUAAGCCUGUGAAGGUGUGUCGUGAGGCAUGCUGGAGGUAUCAGAAGUGCGAAUGCUGACAUAAGUAACGAUAAAGCGGGUGAAAAGCCCGCUCGCCGGAAGACCAAGGGUUCCUGUCCAACGUUAAUCGGGGCAGGGUGAGUCGACCCCUAAGGCGAGGCCGAAAGGCGUAGUCGAUGGGAAACGGGUUAAUAUUCCCGUACUUGGUGUUACUGCGAAGGGGGGACGGAGAAGGCUAUGUUGGCCGGGCGACGGUUGUCCCGGUUUAAGCGUGUAGGUGUGUGUUCCAGGUAAAUCCGGUUCACUUUAACACUGAGGCGUGAUGACGAGGCACUACGGUG